CCAAUCAGAGCCAAUCAGGUUGGCCACAGUGAGAACAGGAUGCUGGACUCAAUGGGUCAUUGGCCUGAACCAGCAGCCUCUACUUAGGUUCUUACAGCUUGAGGUUCCACAGAGAAAAGAAAUUGUCAAGCAUCUAAAGCGGCGAAGAGAGCACGGGGCUCACCGGAUGAAUGUCACAUUUCAGCCUGGAAAGAUAGCAGCUGUUUUAUCUCUGGGAACAGGUGGCUCAAAGCUACAAAGAAGAUACAUUGGGCACGAUUCGGUCACCAUUUGCACCACUCUGGAGAAGACAAAAUGGGCCCUGAUCCAGGAGAGUUUGCUGGGAUUUACACCGUUGAGAGGGGAGGGGAGCAAAUUCAGCAUGGGUGCUCAGGAAGAGCAUAAUGGGCCUCAGAGACAGGGAAAAUUCAGGGGCCCAUUUGAGAAGAAGACUUUCCUUCACAAUUAAACAUUAUAUAUACAA